rnacentral:lncRNA from 1 species
GCCCUUUGUACAUGGGGCUUGCACGUAGUAGGCCUGCAAGCAGUGCCCAGCACACCUAGGCCCUGCCUGCUUGCAGGCUAGCCUGCAGCGCACCAGCCAGGGCACUGCCACCUUGGGCGGUGCACCGCCGGUGGAGGAGGCCCUCCUCUCUUGUUUUUUAUACCAACAUCUUUUUCUCUUCUCUCUUCACUGAAUUUCACAACGAAUAUGACGGUUUCAAAACUCUAUAAAUUUCCCUUCCCCUUCGUUUUUCUCUCCACACUUCCAUUCUUCCAUUUUUCAAAGAU